AAAAAAGAACAACAACAACAUGAAAAGAAAGAAAGAGAAAAGCGAAAAACAAUAAAAGAACAGCUUUUGAAAAAUGCUACAUUCACUAUAGAAAGAAGAAGAGGAUUACAAAACCCUACAGGAAUAAUAGGAAGGAAACUUAGUGAGAGAAUGAAUCCAUAUACUCUGAACCAAAAAACCUUUGUUUCAAUUUCACACCCUACCUAAACCAAAGCCCCGUUACAACCAAAAAGAAAAAAAAGAAAACCUUUG
rnacentral:lncRNA from 1 species